AUGGGUGGUGGGACCUCAUUUUGGGUGGUGGGACCUCAUUUUGGGACCUCAUUUUGGAUGGUGGGACUUCCUUAUAGAUGGUGGGACCUCAUUAUGGGUGGUGGGACCUCAUUAUGGGUGGUGGGACCUCAUUAUGGGUGGUGGGACCUCAUUUUGGAUAGUGGGAAAUCAUUGUGGGUGGUGGGACCUCAUUGUGGAUGGUGGGACCUCAUUGUGGGUGGUGGGACCUCAUUAUGGGUGGUGGGACCUCAUUGUGGGUGGUGGGACCUCAUUUUGGAUGGUGGGAACUCAUUUUGGGACCUCAUUAUGGAUGGUGGGACCUCAUUUUGGAUGGUGGGACCUCAUUUUGGGUGGUGGGACCUCAUUGUGGGUGGUGGGAUCUCAUUAUGGAUGGUGGGACCCCAUUUUGGGUGGUGGGACCUCAUUAUGGAUGGUGGGACCUCAUUAUGGGUGGUGGGACCUCAGUAUGAAUGGUGGGACCACAUUAUGGGUGGUGGGACCUCAUUUUGGGUGGUGGGACCUCAUUUUGGUUGGUGGGACCUCCUUAUGGAUGGUGGGACCUCAUUAUGGGUGGUGGGACCUCAUUUUGGAUGGUGGGAACUCAUUGUGGGUGGUGGGACCUCAUUAUGGAUGGUGGGACCUCAUUGUGGAUGGUGGGACCUCAUUUUGGGUGCUGGGACCUCAUUUUGGGUGGUGGGACCUCAUUGUGGGUGGUGGGACCUCGUUUUGGGUGGUGGGACCUCAUUUUGGGUGGUGGGACCUCAUUAUGAAUGGUGGGACCUCAUUAUGGGUGGUGGGACCUCAUUAUGGGUGGUGGGACCUGAUUUUGGUUGGUGGGACCUCAUUAUGGGUGGUGGGACCUCAAUUUGGGUGAUGGGACCUCAUUUUGGGACCUCAUUUUGGAUGGUGGGACCUCCUUAUAAAUGGUGGGACCUCAUUGUGGGUGGUGGGACCUCAUUGUGGAUGGUGGGAACUCAUUAUGGGUGGUGGGACCUCAUUAUGGGUGGUGAGACCUCAUUUUGGGACCUCAUUAUGGGUGGUGGGACCUCAUUUUGGAUGGUGGGAACUCAUUGUGGGUGGUGGGACCUCGUUAUGGAUGGUGGGACCUCAUUGGGGACCACCUUGAGCAGGGGAGGGGUGGUUGGACAUCUUUGA
rnacentral:lncRNA from 1 species